CCCUUAGAUGUUCUGGGCUGCACGCGCGCUACACUGAUGCACUCAACGAGUUUACGACCUUGCCCGAUAGGGUUGGGUAAUCUUUUUAAAAUGCAUCGUGAUGGGGAUAGACUAUUGCAAUUAUUAAUCUUCAACGAGGAAUUCCUAGUAAGCGCGAGUCAUCAGCUCGUGCUGAUUACGUCCCUGCCCUUUGUACACACCGCCCGUCGCUCCUACCGAUUGAGUGCUCAGGUGAAUAAUUCGGACUGCAGCAAUGUUUGGAUCCCGAACGUUGCAGCGGAAAGUUUAGUGAACCUUAUCACUUAGAGGAAGGAGAAGUCGUAACA
rnacentral:rRNA from 1 species